GCCAGCAUGGUGUAGUGGUUUGAACAUUGGACUGUGACUCUGGAGACCAGGAUUCAAAUCUGGCUUGGCC